UACGGGGGGGGUAAGCGUUGUUCGGAAUUACUGGGCGUAAAGGGCUCGUAGGCGGCCAACUAAGUCAUACGUGAAAUCCCCGGGCUCAACCCGGGAACUGCGUCCGAUACUGGAAGGCUUGAAUCCGGGAGAGGGAUGCGGAAUUCCAGGUGUAGCGGUGAAAUGCGUAGAUAUCUGGAGGAACACCGGUGGCGAAGGCGGCAUCCUGGACCGGCAUUGACGCUGAGGCGCGAAAGCCAGGGGAGCAAACGGG
rnacentral:rRNA from 1 species